GAAGUGGUGACUCUCCUGGUGGAGAAAAAAUGUGACAUCGAUGCCCAUGACAGGGAAAACAGUACCGCCCUGAUUAAGGCUGUACAAUACCACCAGGAAGAUUGUGCAACUAUUCUCUUGGAACAUGGUGCCAAUCUGAAUGUUGCAGAUGCCAGCGGCAACACUGCUCUCCACUAUGCAUUCUAUUGGGAAACUCAUCAAUAGUGGCAAAACUGCUUUCACACCAUGCAGAUACUGAGGCCAAAAAUAAGGAAUUGGGACUACUGAGAUAAAAGAUAUAUCCCCUGCCCUCAAGAUGCUUUUGAUUCAGGUGGGAGCCAUCACAUAACUCAAAGUACCAUAAUGAAUCUGUGACAGAAGGAAAGAUCCUUGGAAUCAGUGAAAGUCUGAGGAUGACCUCACACCACAUUCAAUUGCUGUAAGGGAAAACAAGCAGCAAGUGGAAGAACUGCUUAUAAAGGAGAAAGAAAAUAUUCAUGCUCUGGACGAGCCAGGAAGGUUUUCUAACAAACGUGAUCCUUUUGACUCAUCAGAGGGGGAUGAUGAUAAUUUUGAUGACAUGAAUCUCCCCAAAGUAAACCUAGCUGAGCUAUGGGCUGCUGCUCACCAAAGCGGGGAAAAGCAAGCAAAAUAUGGCACUGGGGAAUCGGGAAACACAACCCAUCUUGACGACCGUAUUUCUGAUGGUGAAAGCAAAGAUAACGUGGAAACUCAUCCUAAAACAUCAGAUGAUGUUGAGAGCUUCUCUCAGUCUUCCGUCUCAA